UACGUAGGGGGCAAGCGUUAUCCGGAAUUACUGGGUGUAAAGGGAGCGUAGACGGUGAAGUAAGUCUGGAGUGAAAGGCGGGGGCUCAACCCCCGGACUGCUCUGGAAACUGUACAGCUGGAGUGCAGGAGAGGUAAGUGGAAUUCCUAGUGUAGCGGUGAAAUGCGUAGAUAUUAGGAGGAACACCAGUGGCGAAGGCGACUUACUGGACUGUAACUGACGCUGAGGCAUGAGAGCAUGGGGAGCAAACAGG
rnacentral:rRNA from 1 species